AACGCUGGCGGCGUGCUUAACACAUGCAAGUCGAACGGAAAGGCCCUGCUUUUGUGGGGUGCUCGAGUGGCGAACGGGUGAGUAACACGUGAGUAACCUGCCCUUGACUUUGGGAUAACUUCAGGAAACUGGGGCUAAUACCGGAUAGGAGCUCCUGCUGCAUGGUGGGGGUUGGAAAGUUUCGGCGGUUGGGGAUGGACUCGCGGCUUAUCAGCUUGUUGGUGGGGUAGUGGCUUACCAAGGCUUUGACGGGUAGCCGGCCUGAGAGGGUGACCGGCCACAUGGGGACUGAGAUACGGCCCAGACUCCUAGGGGAGGCAGGAGUGGGGAAUAUUGCACAAGGGGCGGAAGCCUGAUGCAGCAACGCCGCGUGGGGGAUGACGGCCUUCGGGUUGUAAACCGCUUUCGCCUGUGACGAAGCGUGGGUGAGGGUAAUGGGUAAAGAAGCACCGGCUAACUACGU
rnacentral:rRNA from 1 species